UCACAAACAGCUGGUUUCUUUCCAGCUCCAAGGUUGGAGGACCUAUCUACACGUUGGAGGACUCAGAAAGUACGACUCAAUGAGCCUGUCGCUCUUGAACCCGUGACAAGAAAACUGGCUUCCUAUUGGUCAAUAUUACAGAGGCCCGCCCAGCAACUUCCGGACGCUUUCUUUAAGUUAAAGCCACACGGCGGUUCCGGUCUCUUAGCCACGGGGAUAGCUCUAAGGUCUGCCCUGCGCAGGACAGCAGAUAGCGUGAGCUUCUACAUACAACCUUUCCCCCAAGCCUCUGAAUAAAGUGCUUCAACAACA